rnacentral:rRNA from 1 species
UACGAAGGGGGCUAGCGUUGCUCGGAAUCACUGGGCGUAAAGCGCACGUAGGCGGCUUCUUAAGUCAGGGGUGAAAUCCUGGAGCUCAACUCCAGAACUGCCUUUGAUACUGAGAAGCUUGAGUCCGGGAGAGGUGAGUGGAACUGCGAGUGUAGAGGUGAAAUGCGUAGAUAUUCGCAAGAACACCAGUGGCGAAGGCGGCUCACUGGCCCGGUACUGACGCUGAGGUGCGAAAGUGUGGGGAGCAAACAGG